rnacentral:rRNA from 1 species
UACGAAUGAAAGGAACAAAGUAUACUAACUGUUAAUUAAAAUUUAACAUAAAUCUUUGGCUGAGUGCAAAAACUUAGAAUAAAAAUAUAAACGAGAAGACCCUGGGAAUUUUAAUAUUUUUAUUGGGAUAAUAUAAAACCAUACUUAGCUAAGCAACAAAUAACAUUAAUAAAAAGAAAUUACCCCAGGGAUAACAGCACAAUAGUCAUUAAGAGACCUAAUCUCAGUGAUUGAUUAUGACCUCGAUGUUGAAUCAUUUGUACAUAUAGUUUGCAGAAGAAUUUUAUUCUCGUCUGUUCGACGAUAGACAUUACGUGAUUUGAGUUUUAAACCGAAAA